AACCAGAAAAUCAGAUCAGACCCUUAGAAAAGAACGAAGCAGCGGCGCAUCUGAGAGGAGAUUCCUCUCCAUUUUUCACUCAACAAUAGAGAUCUCCUCCUUAACCCAGAAAACUAUCAGCCAAUGCCUUUCUCUUUGACUCUCAUAUUUUCCCUCCUCUAACCAUAACCUCACUCAUACAAAAAAAAAUAAAAACAAAGAUCUGAAAGCAAAUUUCUAGAUCCGAAAUUGCAUCUCAAAUCUGGAAACCGAAGCUUCACGAGAAAUUAAAAAAAAAAAGGAAACAAAACAGAAGAAUUUCUGAAAAUUCAACUUCGAUUUUUAGAAACACAAAAAAAGAAAGGAAAAAAAAAAGUUUUCAUCAGCUGGGUUCCACUCUCGGAUAUCUGGAUUUCAGUUUUUUCUAAAUGUGAAGUUUGAGUUUUAACUUCAAUUUCUGUUGCUCGCUGCUAUAUUAUCAAGCUAUGACUGAGUCGCGAUUCGGAGGCUUAUUUUCUUCCUCUUUAUUCUGCUGUUGCGCCACUGUUUAGGCUAUAAAGUUGUUGGAGUUCUUCUUUGUUAAUUUCUGAUGUUAGCAUGCGUUGAAGCUGCAAUUCAAAUUGCUAAGUGUUCAUCAAUUAAUAUAGAAUAUUGUAUGGGUUAAGGCGAGUUUGCUUAUAUUGUUACAGAUGAUGCUAUUGUGACUUACUUUUGUCCGCGUCAUUUUUAUCCAUGAAUCAGUGUAUGUAAGGCAUGGACAUAUAGGUUAUACUUGUGCAAAUAUGUAGUUCCAGUGAAUUUUUCUUUCUGUGCAGUACUCAUUUAGCUUUCAUAUUUAGUGAUCAAAUGUGAAUAUUAUAUUUAUUGGCUGGAAAUCCAUGAAUUAUUUAGAAAGUAGUCAUGCCUAGCAAUUAUCUGAUCCUAAUUGUAUUUGGUUGUCAUUCAUGAGCGGGCAGUACAUCCAAGAAUGUGAGAUUAUGCUACGUUGAGGUUUUUCCUUUA